AACGGCGAGUGAAGCGGCAAGAGCUCAAAUUUGAAAUCUGGUACUUUCAGUGCCCGAGUUGUAAUUUGAAGAUUGUACUCUGGAGUUGGCCCUUAUCUAUGUUCCUUGGAACAGGACGUCACAGAGGGUGAGAAUCCCGUGCGAUGGGGAGUCCGGCUCUAUGUAGAGUACAUUCGAAGAGUCGAGUUGUUUGGGAAUGCAGCUCUAAGUGGGUGGUAAAUUCCAUCUAAAGCUAAAUAUUGGCGAGAGACCGAUAGCGAACAAGUACAGUGAUGGAAAGAUGAAAAGAACUUUGAAAAGAGAGUGAAAAAGUACGUGAAAUUGUUGAAAGGGAAGGUUAUUAGAUCAGACUUGGUGUUUGGCGAUAUUCAGUCUCUUGUGGACUGUUCACUCGUCUUUCACUGGGCCAGCAUCGGUUUGGGUGGCAGGAUAAUGGCUGUUGAACGUGGCUUCUUCCUUUGUGGGGAAGUGUUUAUAGCUUCAGCUGAUACUGCCUACCUAGACCGAGGACUGCGGCA
rnacentral:rRNA from 1 species